rnacentral:tRNA from 2 species
GCGGAAGUGGCGGAAUUGGCAGACGCGCAGGCCUCAGGAGCCUGUGGGACUUAGUCCCAUGGGGGUUCAAGUCCCCCCUUCCGCACCA